rnacentral:misc_RNA from 1 species
GAAAGAUGUUAAGAUUUUGGAGAAGGGAAAUGAAUUAGAAACUGAUGUUGGUGGCAGUGGAGGGAAUAGAUUUGACGGGAGUGGAGGAAAUGGGAAAUAUCCAAGUGGUGGACGGCAGCGGUGGCAGUGGUAGCGGCGAGGAUGGUGAAAGAGAGGACAAAGGAGAAGAAGAAGAGUUUGGACCCAUUAUGAAGUUUGAUGAGGUGAUUAAAGAGACGGAGGCGCAAGGAGCAAGUCUCCCAUCUGAUAUGUUAGAGGCCGCCAAGAUUGUGGGGAUUCGUAGAUUGCUUCUGCUAAGAUAUUUGGAUUUGCAGGGGUCUGGGCUUUUGGGUUUUGCAAUGAAGUCUUGCUCUAUGCUUCGAAACAGAAUGUUGGCUGAUCCAUCUUUCCUCUUCAAAAUUGGAACAGAGAUAGUUAUUGAUUCUUGCUGUGCUACAUUUGCUGAAAUUCAAAAGAGGGGUAAAGACUUUUGGGCAGAGUUUGAACUGUAUGUUGCAGACCUUUUGGUUGGUGUGGUGGUAAACGUUGCUUUGGUUAGCAUGUUAGCACCUUAUGCACGUAUUGGACAACCAUCAGUAUCUAAAGGGUUCUUUGGACGGCUAUUACAUGCUUAUGGAUCUCUUCCUAGUAGUGUCUUUGAAGCUGAAAGGCCUGGAUGUAGAUACUCUGUACAACAGAGAAUUGCAACAUAUUUCUACAAGGGAGUCCUAUAUGGAUUUGUUGGCUUUGCUUGUGGUAUUAUUGGCCAAGGCAUUGCAAAUCUCAUAAUGAAUGCCAAGCGGAGCAUAAAGAAAUCA